UAGGGAAUCUUCGGCAAUGGGGGGAACCCUGACCGAGCAACGCCGCGUGAGUGAAGAAGGUUUUCGGAUCGUAAAGCUCUGUUGUUAAGGAAGAACGAGUGUGAGAAUGGAAAGUUCAUGCUGUGACGGUACUUAACCAGAAAGGGACGGCUAACUACGUGCCAGCAGCCGCGGUAAUACGUAGGUGGCAAGCGUUGUCCGGAUUUAUUGGGCGUAAAGCGAGCGCAGGCGGUCAAUUAAGUCUGAUGUGAAAGCCCCCGGCUCAACCGGGGAGGGUCAUUGGAAACUGGUUGAAUUGAGUGCAGAAGAGGAGAGUGGAAUUCCAUGUGUAGCGGUGAAAUGCGUAGAUAUAUGGAGGAACACCAGUGGCGAAGGCGACUCUCUGGUAUGUAACUGACGCUGAGGCUCGAAAGCGUGGGUAGCAAACAGG
rnacentral:rRNA from 1 species